CCUACGGGUGGCAGCAGUGGGGAAUAUUGCGCAAUGGGCGAAAGCCUGACCCAGCAACGCCGCGUGAGGGAAGAAGGCUUUCGGGUUGUAAACUUCUUUUCUCAGGGACGAAGAAGGUGACGGUACCUUAAGAAUCAGCCACUGCUAACUACGUGCCAGCAGCCGCGGUAAUACGUAGGCGGCAAUCGUUAUCCGUAUUUAUGGGGAGUAAGGGCCGUGUAGGCGGGGGCGCAAGUCAGAUGUGAAAACCCAGGGCUCAACCAUGGGCCUGCAUUGGAAACUGUGGUUCUUGAGUGCAGGAGAGGGAAUCGGAAUUCCGUGUGUAGCGGUGAAAUGCGUAGAUAUACGGAGGAACACCAGUGGCGAAGGCGGCUUACUGGACAGUAACUGACGCUGAGGCGCGAAAGCGUGGGGAGCAAACAGGAUUAGAUACCCCGGUAGUC
rnacentral:rRNA from 1 species